AAAAGGAGAACCUCACUCCUCCCUAAGACU
rnacentral:tRNA from 1 species